GAAGAAAGGAACAUAGGAUCCAUAAAACAAUCAUAAAAUAAUUAACAAAAUGGUAGUAGUAAGUUCUUAUCAAUAAUUACUUUGAAUGUAAAUGGACUAAAUUCUCCAAUCAAAAGAUGUAAAGUAGCUGAAUGGAUUUUUUAAAAAGAGGGACAACUAUAUGCUGCCUAUAAGGAAGUUUCUUCUUUCUAUUGUGUUUUCUGGAAAGAUGAGAAGAUUUGGGUUUUGUUUGUCUUUAUUUAGACAAUGAAAACUUCAUUCUCUUCUCAUGUUUCCAGGAGAGUUCAGGAAGUUAGCAGUAGACUCUUGGUAGCCCUCAGGAUUAAAAUGUAUGCUACAUAAGUAAAUAGGUUUAAUAUCAUUUUUAAUUCCUUACACAUUUUGAUUGUAUAAGAUAGUAUUAUAAUUACUUUUUAUGUAUAUAUUAGUUUUCUUCUUUUGUUGCCUGCAAAAUUUAUUUCUCUUUAGUUACUAGGGAUAAACUUAAUAUAAAGUAAAAAAGGAUUAUAAACCACUUAUAAAUCUUUACUUUAGGAGAGCAAAGAAUAAUAAAGGAAGAAACAUACUCUGCCCUUGAAUGAAAAUACUCAAAUAUGUUAGAUGAGUCUUUCUUCUUGAAAUUAUUCUACAAGCUCCAGUAUUGUCUCGAUUAACAUAAAAUACACUUCUAACAAAGUUUGAUAAGCUGAUUCUAAAGAUUAAAUGGAAAAUUAAUAUAUUAUAA
rnacentral:lncRNA from 1 species